rnacentral:rRNA from 1 species
AGAGUUUGAUCAUGGCUCAGAACGAACGCUGGCGGCGUGGAUUAGGCAUGCAAGUCGAACGAGAAAGGGUUCGCAAGAACCCUAGUAAAGUGGCGAAAGGGUGAGUACUACCUAGGUAACCUGCCCUGAUGACGGGAACAACAGUUCUAACGGACUGCUAAUACCCGAUACGACGGCGAGGUCGCAUGAACUUGCCGGGAAACGGUAGCCUCUGUUUACAAGCUUCCGCUUCGGGAGGGGCCUCGGCCCUAUCAGCUAGUUGGCG